rfam:Chaetomium globosum CBS 148.51 scaffold_3 genomic scaffold, whole genome shotgun sequence.
GCCCGCAUGGCUCAGUGGUAGAGCGUGUCACUAGUAAACCUAGGUCAUGACAAGGUCGUCAGUUCGAUUCUGGCUGUGGGCA